UACGUAGGGGGCAAGCGUUGUCCGGAUUCAUUGGGCGUAAAGAGCGUGUAGGCGGCCAGGUAGGUCGGUUGUGAAAACUGGAGGCUCAACCUUCAGACGUCGGCCGAAACCAUCUGGCUAGAGUCCGGGAGAGGAGAGUGGAAUUCCUGGUGUAGCGGUGAAAUGCGCAGAUAUCAGGAAGAACACCCGUGGCGAAAGCGGCUCUCUGGAACGGUACUGACGCUGAGACGCGAAAGCGUGGGGAGCGAACAGG
rnacentral:rRNA from 1 species